AGCUCCAAUAGCGUAUAUUAAAGUUGUUGCGGUUAAAAAGCUCGUAGUUGGAUCUCGGCAGCCAGGGGGCGGUUCGCUCCAAAGCGUGACUGCCCCAUUUGGCUGUGUGAUUGGCGGAGGUUCCGGGGUGCUCUUCGUUGAGUGUCCCGGUGCGCCGUCAGGUUUACUUUGAAAAAAUUAGAGUGCUCAAAGCAGGCUUUUCAGGCUUGAAUAUUCGUGCAUGGAAUAAUGAAUUAGAACCUGUUCCCUUUUUUGUGGGUUUCGGGAAAUGAGGUAAAGAUUAAUAGGGACAAUUGGGGGCAUUAGUAUUCAAACGACAGAGGUGAAAUUCUUGGACCGUUUGAAGACUAACUACUGCGAAAGCAUUUGCCAAGAGUGUUUUCA
rnacentral:rRNA from 1 species